ACCCGCUGAACUUAAGCAUAUCAAUAAGCGGAGGAAAAGAAACCAACAGGGAUUGCCUCAGUAACGGCGAGUGAAGCGGCAAGAGCUCAAAUUUGAAAUCUGGCGCAAGCCCGAGUUGUAAUUUGAAGAGGAUGUCACGGUUGGGGUCGCUGCCGAAGUUCCUUGGAACAGGACGUCUUAGAGGGUGAGAAUCCCGUCCGGCUGCCGGCCUGCACCAUGUGUGACUCCUUCGAAGAGUCGAGUUGUUUGGGAAUGCAGCUCAAAAUGGGUGGUAAAUUUCAUCUAAAGCUAAAUAUUGGCGGGAGACCGAUAGCGCACAAGUAGAGUGAUCGAAAGAUGAAAAGCACUUUGAAAAGAGAGUUAAACAGUACGUGAAAUUGUUGAAAGGGAAGCGCUUGCGAUCAGACUCGCCUGCAGUUGAUCAACGUUCGUUCUCGUUCGUGCACUCUGCUGCUGGCGGGCCAGCAUCGGCCGGGACGGCGGGACAAAGGCGUCGGGAAUGUGGCUCCUCGGAGUGUUAUAGCCCGGCGUGCAAUGCCGCCAGAACCGGUCGAGGUCCGCGCUUCGGCUAGGAUGCUGGCUUAAUGGUCGUAAGCGACCCGUCUUGAAACACGG
rnacentral:rRNA from 1 species